rnacentral:rRNA from 1 species
UAGGGAAUCUUCCGCAAUGGGCGAAAGCCUGACGGAGCAACGCCGCGUGAGUGAUGAAGGUCUUCGGAUCGUAAAACUCUGUUAUUAGGGAAGAACAAAUGUGUAAGUAACUAUGCACGUCUUGACGGUACCUAAUCAGAAAGCCACGGCUAACUACGUGCCAGCAGCCGCGGUAAUACGUAGGUGGCAAGCGUUAUCCGGAAUUAUUGGGCGUAAAGCGCGCGUAGGCGGUUUUUUAAGUCUGAUGUGAAAGCCCACGGCUCAACCGGGGAGGGUCAUUGGAAACUGGAAAACUUGAGUGCAGAAGAGGAAGGUGGAAUUCCAUGUGUAGCGGUGAAAUGCGCAGAGAUAUGGAGGAACACCAGUGGCGAAGGCGACUUUCUGGUCUGUAACUGACGCUGAUGUGCGAAAGCGUGGGGAUCAAACAGG